UUGUUACAUCAGAUUGUAGAACAGUUAGUUAGUUUGUAGGAAGUUAUACAGGCAGCGGUAACUUUUAUUUUGAAAAGACGAAAGCUCCACUGCGGAAAUAUUGUGGGUAACUUCCGGUGUAGAAAUGUUAAUUUUAUUUGUAUUCAAUGUGUUUUAUAAUAGUGGUGGUGAAUUAUUGUUGGUACUGUUGAGCACAUUGAUUUCACAGACUGUCUUUGUGGGGUCUCAGUUCAGUGCUCAACAGAUAGUCUAACGGGUCAUACCAUUGCAGCGGGGUAAACGCUCUCCCAUGAGAUUAGACGGCCUCUUUUCUUGUGGAGCUUGUGGGAAAAGGUAUGAAGUUUUGCUUGUGCAGUUAAUAAUUGUAUUUUCUGUGUGUAUGUGAAAGUUGAAUUACUGAUUUUUUUGUUGUAAAAUAAACAGUUAUAGGGGGAAUUAAGCUUGAUAUAAGAGUGGUAGUUUUGGGGUUGUUAAUAUUUAGCAGCUCUAGCGCUGCAGGAAAUUUCGCUAGUCGGUUAGUAUUACAAAGUGUUGCGGCCAUGUUUUGAAAGCAGUCUUGGUGUCUGAACAGGCUCUGUGGAGAACACUGAGGAGCCUGUCUGACUGCUUUCUAUUUGUCGUAUUGGCGCAGCUUGUGGGAAAAGGCGCUGUGGAGAACACUGAGGAGCCUGUCUGACUGCUUUCUAUUUGUCGUAUUGGCGCAGGCGGCAAAAUCAAUAAAGGUGUUUUCACAUCAGCUGCGGUCCGGCUUACUUCAACAAAAGACACAACGCAGAAUGAACACUGUUACAUUUGCAUUU